rnacentral:lncRNA from 1 species
CAGGCUGAGGACAGAUGACUCAUGGAACACACUUAAAACUGAAGGCUGGGAAAAGUUAGAAGUGCAAUGGCCCUGAGCUGGCGGGACUGUGAGAACAGUGACUACUCACUAAUUCACAUGCGGCUGCCAGCUACCCAAGGACAGCAGUAGCUCUGGUAUCCAGGGAUGAUACACAGGUCAAGGGCUGCGAGAGCACUGGCUUUUCACUCUCCUGCGCCGCUACCUGAGUAAACUCCCCUAUCCUACCUUUUCUUGAGUGUGAGGUUGGCUCUGGACAUCGAAAAAUGGGAGAGAGCAAAGCCCCCAAACUCAGCCACACUGAGAGGAUGGGCAAAAGGAUCUGAGGAGACUGAGGUGGAAUCUACUCAUUUCUGCUUCAGAAAGGUAGAAAGAUCUCCAUUUUAAAGACCAAGGCAAAGCGGCUGAAGGUGAUCCACUCUGGGGGCAGUGAGAUUCUACCAAUUUCGGACUACUGAGCUGCAGCUGUCUGAGGAUCAACUGCAAAACUCAAAACAAAAACAAACAAAGAAAACCCUAAACCAAACAAAACAACAAAAGACAAACAAACAACAACAACCCACCAACUUCUCUCAGUUAUUUUCUCCAUUAAAGUAUUCAUGCCGGUAGUCCCAGCAAUCUGUAGGCAGGACAAUCAGCUACAAUUCAUGGUCAGCCUGCAUAUUCUAGGUAGCAAGUUCCAGGCUGACCAGAGGUAGAGACAGAGACCUGGCUUGGGCAGCAUGGGUGAACAAGGAUGAUUGGAGGGGACUGAAGUCCAUUACUGCAAAGCUGCAAAGAACACUGCAAAGCUGCAAAGAACAGGUGUGGCAUGCAAACCGGUAACUGUGGAGGUAGAGGCACGAGGGUCAGAAAUUCAAGGUCAGGGCUGGGCAGGUGGCUCAGCGGUUGAAAGCACUUGCUGUAACACAAGUAAUCACAGAGGAUCAGGGUUCAGUUUCCAGUACUUGUGCCAGGCAGCUCACAAGCAGGAGAUCGGAUGCU